rnacentral:rRNA from 1 species
AGCAGCCGCGGUAAUUCCAGCUCCAAUAGCGUAUAUUAAAGUUGUUGCAGUUAAAAAGCUCGUAGUUGAACUUCAGGCCUGUCCAGAUGGUCCGCCUUAAUUGGUGUGUACUGUCCUUGGGUGGGUCCUACCUUCUGGCGAAGCGGCAUGGCCUUAAUUGGUUGUGUUGGGGAACCAGGACUUUUACUGUGAAAAAAAUUAGAGUGUUCAAAGCAGGCAAAUAUGCUCGAAUACAUUAGCAUGGAAUAAUGGAAUAGGACGAUGGUUCUAUUUUGUUGGUUCUAGGACCGUUGUAAUGAUUAAUAGGGAUAGUUGGGGGCAUUAGUAUUCAAUUGUCAGAGGUGAAAUUCUUGGAUUUAUUGAAGACUAACUACUGCGAAAGCAUUUGCCAAGGAUGUUUUCAUUAAUCAAGAACGAAAGUUAGGGGAUCGAAGACGAUCAGAUACCGUCGUAGUCUUAACCAUAAACUAUGCCGACUAGGAAUCGGGACGAUGGUUGACGAAAAUGAACUCGACUCGGC